GCGUGUGUGGUUUAGGGGUAUAACAUUCGCUUCGCAUUUUCAGGGAGAUUCGCUGUGAAAGGUCUGGGGCUCAAUCCUCAACUCGUCUA